rnacentral:rRNA from 1 species
GUCCACGCCGUAAACGAUGGGUACUAGGUGCCUGGGGGAGCGACCCUCUGGGUGCCGGCGCUAACGCAGGAAGUACCCCGCCUGGGGAGUACGACCGCAAGGUUGAAACUCAAAGGAAUUGACGGGGGCCCGCACAAGCAGUGGAGCAUGUGGUUUAAUUCGACGCAACGCGAAGAACCUUACCUAGGCUUGACAUGCACGAGCAAGCUCUCAGAAACGAGGGCCCCUCUUCGGAGAUCGUGCACAGGUGCUGCAUGGCUGUCGU